UACGGGGGGAGCUAGCGUUGUUCGGAAUUACUGGGCGUAAAGGGCGCGUAGGCGGCCCUGUCAGUCGGGUGUGAAAGCCCGGGGCUCAACCCCGGAACGGCACCCGAGACGGCAGGGCUGGAGACCGGGAGAGGAGGGUGGAAUAGCCAGUGUAGAGGUGAAAUUCGUAGAUAUUGGCUGGAACACCGGUGGCGAAAGCGGCUCUCUGGCCCGGUUCUGACGCUGAGGCGCGAAAGCGUGGGGAGCAAACAGG
rnacentral:rRNA from 1 species